rnacentral:tRNA from 1 species
GAAAUAUGUAAAGUAAAAGCUGCUAACUUAUUACCAUAACGAAUAAUCUCGUUUAUAUUUCUAUUUAUGUA